UCUAUCCCUCCUCCAUUCUCUGUUCCUUCCUUGGCUCCCUCAACGACGGAGGCAAGGCACCGGUCGUGCGCGGCUCCGUCGAUACCGCCCGUCUGCGUUGAUCCCGUGUCCGAGGGCGGCUGCCGCUGCACUCCGGCGAUCCGGCCACCACCACGCGCCGGCGGGCGACGCAGGCCAUGGUGGGUUACGGCUGCCAUCGUCCUCCAUGUGCAGCUCUCUCCAUGGGGAGCCCUCCUUCCCGGUGUCCUCUAUGGGCCGCUCCGCCGCCGCAGGCUUCCGACGACAUUGCGGGAAACAACUCCACCCCUGCGCGGCCGGUGAGGCGCCUCUCCUCUUAUCGCUCUCACUAGAACGGUCAGGAUGGGGGCUUGGAGGCAGAGGAUCGGGGGCCGCGGAAUACUGUUAGGUCGCGGGAGCAUCAUGCGGCCAGGUCGCGAGCACCAGCAGGCGCCGCGGCAGGCGAGAUCGCGGGCGGAGGUCCUGGGCGAGGCCAUGACGGAUGGAGGUCAUUCGCAGCUGCGGUGUAGGCGGCGCUGCAUGUCGAGAUCGAUGCCGCCUCCUGGACAGGGAAGGGCAGCAACUACCAUUCUCCUGCCCGCAUUUAGAUGGAACUUGGAAGGGACACAGGUAAAGAUUUGAUUCACUUCAUUUUCAUGCCGUUGUGUAUCUAACCCGAUGGGAGGUAGGAGAGGAAGUGGGUCUAGGCAGCAUGGUUGCAGUUGCAUCUGACAAAAUCGAUUGUUGGUCACAAUAGUCCGUCAGUGCAAAAGCAAAAUGGAUGGGUUCUUCUUAGUUACUACUCCGUAAUUUUUUUUGUUGUAUCUCCUGUUAUCUUGCAUCAUAAAUGGAAUGUUAAGCACGUGUGACGAAUGCAGAUUUCCAGGCCUAGGAGCGGCCUUUCUCCGCUUUCCAGUUGCAAGGAAUUAGAGAACCAUAACUCCAGGAAGGCAACAACCCAUGACAAAAGUUGAUCUGAAGGGCCCAUGCACUAGAUGUUUCCAGAGGAACCGAACAUAUCCUAACCGGGAGAGGCGUGGAAAAAUCAGAAGGAAGGAGGUCUUGGAACCAGUUACCGGUUGUCCAUUUACAUAUAAAAAAAGGCAAACGAAAAUUAUCUAUGGACUGAACAGGUAAGAAACGGAAGAGGAGGGUAUGUGUUGCUAGCUAUUUGGACGAACGUGAGAGAAAAUAGGCCAUCUACAACAACCAAAUCAAGGAGGGAUUGGCUAAAGUGUUUAGCUUUUAUAUAGGCUAUUAUGAGCUUGUUCUUAUGCAUGGUAAGAGAAAAAGAGAUAGAAAGCAUACUGAAUUAUAUAGGGAAGAGCUCGGUCGACGCUGCUGAUGUUGUGGGCUUGUGCUUGUGCUUGUGGUAUAGUAUCAUGUUUUGUGUCUGUUCAAUUUGUGUUCACUGCAUAUUUGGAAAAGUCUGAGGCAAAACUACAUUACUAACAUGAGUCUAUCUGAAGGUCACGAGUUGAACAUUGUAGAUACCAAGAUUGAUAUGGGGAUAGAGUUUGAGGAAAAGGUCGAAAACUCAAAUGGUAACAAAAUUUAAAAAAUAGAAUGCCCAGUUAGGAGUUUGCUACAGUAUCACGAUCUACAACUUAGAAGGAAUUAGUAAUCUGCUCAUUGGAUGUAUUUGUGAAACCUUGGAUCUUGUGUACUUAUAUAAAAGUCAAGUGCACAAAAGUAGGACAUGGAUCCUCCCAUUGAGUGCCUUAUA